rnacentral:rRNA from 1 species
GACGAACGCUGGCGGCGUGCUUAACACAUGCAAGUCGAACGGAAAGGCCCUGCUUUUGUGGGGUGCUCGAGUGGCGAACGGGUGAGUAACACGUGAGUAACCUGCCCUUGACUUUGGGAUAACUUCAGGAAACUGGGGCUAAUACCGGAUAGGAGCUCCUGCUGCAUGGUGGGGGUUGGAAAGUUUCGGCGUUUGGGGAUGGACUCGCGGCUUAUCAGCUUGUUGGUGGGGGAGUGGCUUACCAAGGCUUUGACGGGUAGCCGGCCUGAGAGGGUGACCGGCCACAUUGGGACUGGGAUACGGCCCAGACUCCUACGGGGGGCAGCAGUGGGGAAUAUUGCACAAUGGGCGGAAGCCUGAUGCAGCAACGCCGCGUGCGGGAUGACGGCCUUCGGGUUGUAAACCGCUUUCGCCUGUGACGAAGCGUGAGUGACGGUAAUGGGUAAAGAAGCACCGGCUAACUACGUG